UACAGAGGUCCCGAGCGUGUUCGGAUUCAUUUGGGCGUAAAGGGUGCGUAGGCGGCGCGGUAAGUCGGGUGUGAAAUCUCGGAGCUUAACUCCGAAACUGCAUUCGAUACUGCCGUGCUUUAGGACUGGGAGAGGAGACUGGGAAUUUUACGGUGAAGCGGUGAAAUCGUAGAUAAUCGUAAGGAAGACCAUGGCGAAAGGCGGGGU
rnacentral:rRNA from 1 species